UACCAACAUCAAUUGGGCAUAUAUGUUUGAGCUACCAGAUGCGAGAAUGAAGCUUUUGGCCUUCCUUAUUUUAUUGGGUUUCGUCGGUGUUGCACCGCUAAAAAAAGAUGUCUGGGAGAAGUGUCAAAAAGAAGUGCGAUUGAGCAACGAUCAGUUGCUUAAAUCUAUAACAUCCUAUCCUCCCCACCGGAAAUUCAUGUGCUCCUUCCAUUGCUAUUUAAAAAAAAUGAAGGUUGUAGUUAAUGGACGGACAAUUCCCGAAAAUUUCGGAAAGGCCGUAGGGACCAAAUUUUCUAAAAACGAGUUCACAAAAAUAAUGAAAUCGUGCAGCAAGGUUUUAUCUAAGAAGGACCCUUGCAAAAUCGCAUAUGAGCUAUAUGAGUGCAUAUCAUAUCCGAUACCUAUUCUUGAAAAUUGGAUUUACUAUUAAAGACUAUCAUAUUUUAAAAAUGCAAAAGAAAA